AUUUUUUUCCAGAUGUAGUAAUACUCAACACACUGGGCUACAGUUUUUGUCUGGAUCUAGUGGAGGAAGAGAGAAGCCGGCUAAGGACAGUGCCUCAGGAGCAGCAGGGACAGAGAAUCACAAAGUCCUCCCGGGGAAGAAGGGGUUCAGAGAGAAGCCACCAGAGUCAACACCAUCUAAGCUCUGCACGCUCUGAGCAACAAGGCUGGCCCAGGAACUCUUCUCUCCAGGAAAACGCACACAAAGGUGCACACGAGGACGCUCGCUGUGACAUCAUGCGGAGCCACACGUCUGCCGACCGGGACUUCUAAUUAAAGCAGAGCGUCCUCACGUGGUGGAUACCUCAGAGCCUUAUGCGACAGCUAGGCAAGCCCUCCAAAAAACUGCAGAGGAAGGAACACUUCCCGACUCAUUCCGGCUUCCCUGGUGGCGCAGUGGUUGAGAGUCCAUCUGCCGAUGCAGGAGACAUGGGUUCGUGCACCGGUCUGGGAGGAUCCCACAUGCCGCGGAGCCUGCAUGUCCGGAGCCUGUGCCCCGCAACGGGAGAGGCCACAACAGUGAGAGGCCCCGCGUA